AGCGCACCCCUAUCCUUAUUUGCCAGCGCAUAAUGGCGGGAACUAUAAGGAGACUGCCGGUCAUAAACCGGAGGAAGGCGGGGACGACGUCAAGUCAUCAUGGCCCUUAUGGGUAGGGCUACACACGUGAUACAAUGGGUGGUACAGAGGGUCGCCAAAGCGCGAGCUGGAGCCAAACCCUUAAAACCAUUCUUAGUCCGGAUUGGAGUCGGCAACUCGACUCCAUGAAGUCGGAAUCGCUAGUAAUCGCGAAUCAGAAUGUCGCGGUGAAUACGUUCUCGGGCCUUGUACACACCGCCCGUCACGUCAUGGAAGUGGGUUGCACCAGAAGUGGCUUGUUUAACCUUCGGGAAAACGGUCACCACGGUGUGAUUCACAACUGGGACGAAGUCGUAACAAGGUAGCCCUAGGGGAACCUGGGGCUGGAUCA
rnacentral:rRNA from 1 species